UACAGAGGUGACAAACGUUGUCCGGAAUUAUUGGGCGUAAAGGGCGCGUAGGUGGUUGAGUAAGUCAGGUGUGAAAGCUCUGGGCUUAACCCAGGAAUUGCAUCUGAUACUGCUCGGCUUGAGUACGGUAGAGGAGGGUGGAAUUCCCAGUGUAGCGGUGAAAUGCGUAGAUAUCAAGAGGAACACCAGUGGCGAAGGCGAGUCCCUGGACAACUUCUGACGCUGAGGCACGAAAGCUAGGGGGGCAAACAGG
rnacentral:rRNA from 1 species